rnacentral:rRNA from 1 species
GAGACCUGUAUUUACAAUUGCUAACAGCCUUUGGGACUGAGCACAUUGUAAGGACUGCCCUCGAAAGGGGGAGGAAGGUGCAGGCAACGGUAGGUCUGUAUGCUCCGAAUCCUCUGGGCUACACGCGCGCAACAAUGGUAGGGACAAUGGGAUGCAACUCCGAAAGGAGAAGCUAAUCCUCUAAACCCUAUCCUAGUCCAGAUUGAGGGUUGUAACUCACCCUCAUGACGAUGGAAUCCCUAGUAAUCGGGCCUCAUCACGACCCGGUGAAUAU